GCCCUCCUGUGGGGAAGUGGGUCCGUGCGCCUGGCUGAUAACCAGAAGUUUGGUGGUUUGAGCCCACCCAGGGACG